CUUCACAUCAGCUUUUGCAUGAGGGACAGAAUUCUUGGACUGUGAAGUUUCCAUUCUCUAAACCUUCAAAAAACCAAUGACCACCACAUCAUGUUAAAACCCACCCAAUUAACAUUAAUACAGUCCAACUAUGUGUCACUUACACACAACAUUCAAUUCCACUUACAGAAAUCCAAAAAAAAAUUUGAAAACAAUGACCAUGCAAAAAGUUAUUCUUGGGUCCCCACUUACAGUAUAAGGGUUCCAAUAACCACCACAUCAUGUUAAAACCCAUCCAAUUAACAUUAAUACAGGUUUAUAUUGUUGUUUUAAUUUUUUUAACACUGGACUUCAACUGUGUCUAUUUUACAAUGUUCAUAUUUACCCUUAUAGUGUAAAGGGGUGGGGUUUGGCAUGAUGUGGUGGUCAUUGUAACCCCUAUAGUGUAAGUGGGGACCCAUGUGUUAAUAAUUUGGGACCCAUGAAUAACUUUCUGCAUGCUCAUUCUCUUCAAUUAUUUUUUUGUAUUCCUGAAACUGGAACUGAAUGUCGUGUGUAGUUUAGACAUAGUAGGAUGGUAUGAAUGUUAAUUGGAUGGGUUUUAGCAUGAUGUGGUGGUCAUUGGAACCCUUAUUGUGUAAGUGGGGACCCAUGAGUAACUUUCUGCAUGCUAAUUCUCUUCAAUUAUUUUUUUGUAUUCCUGAAACUAGAACUGAAUGUUGUGUGCAGUUUAAACAUAGUUAGAUGGUAUGAAUGUUAAUUGGGUGGGUUUUAGCAUGGUGUGGUGGUCAUUGGAACCCUUAUAGUGUAAGUGGGGACCCAUGUGUUAAUAAUUGGGGACCAUGAGUAACUUUCUGCAUGGUCUUUUUCUUCAAUUUUGUUUUUGAAUUCCUGGAACUGGAAAUGAAUGUUGUGUGUAGUUUAGACAUAUUUGGAUGAUAUGAAUUUUAAUUGGGUGGGUUUUAGCAUGAUGUGGUGGUCAUUGGAACCCUUAUAGUGUAAGUGGGGACCCAUGAAUUACUUUCUGCAUGGUCAUUGUCUUAAAUUUUGUUUUUGGGUUCCAGGAACUGGAACUGAUUAUUGUGUGUAGUUUAGACAUAGUUGGGUGGUAUGAAUGUUAAUUGGGUGGGUUUUAGCAUGAUGUGGUGGUCAUUGGAACCCUUAUAGUGUAAGUGGGGACCCAUGUGUUAAUAAGUGGAGACCCAUGAAUAACUUUCUGCAUGGUCCCAUUGUCUUAAAUUUUCUUUUUGGAUUCCUGGAACUAGAAGUGAUUGUUGUAUGUAGUUUGAACAUAGUUGGAUGGUAUCAAUGUUAAUUAGGUGGGUUUUAGCAUGAUGUGGUGGUCAUUGGAACCCUUAUAAUGUAAGUGGGGACCCAUGUGUUAAUAAGUGGAGACCCAUGAAUAACUUUCUGCAUGGUUAUUGUCUUCAAUUUUGCUUUUGCAUUCCUGUAAGUGGAACUGAAUGUUGUGUGUAAGUGACACAUAGUUGGACUGUAUUAAUGUUAAUUGGAUGGGUUUUAACAUGAUGUGGUGGUUAUUGGAACCCUUAUACUUUAAGCGGGGACCCAAGAAUAACUUUUUGCAUGGUCAUUGUUUUCAAAAAAAAAAUUGGAUUUCUGUAAGUGGAACUGAAUGUUGUGUGUAAGUGACACAUAGUUGGACUGUAUUAAUGUUAAUUGGGUGGGUUUUAACAUGAUGUGGUGGUCAUUGGUUUUUUGAAGGUUUAGAGAAUGGAAACUUCACAGUCCAAGAAUUCUGUCCCUCAUGCAAAAGCUGAUGUGAAGGUACUAAUUUUACAUUUUGUUCAUAAUAGUUGAAUAUUUUGUGAAUUGACAUGGUUGAAUAAAUAAAGUUGUUGUUAUUGGUUUAUGUUCUGAUGCUGCAGGUACAAGUUAGGCACAAUGUGUUGACUCAAUAUAUUGUUGAUGUCAUCCAUAAACUUAGUAGGUUUCAACAAGAAAGGAUUAAACAAACUCCAUUUAAGUGGAUGCUUGAAAUGGACAAAGUGUUGGAGAUUUCUAACAGCCUCAUGAGAGAACUAUUAAGUAGAUGGGCAGCCGAUAAGGAAACAUUUAGGAUUAGAAAAAGUAUGGUUCCAUUUUCAACUCUUGAUGUGUGUUUUGCAUUAGGAUUGCCAGUUGUGGGGGAGGAGGUGAAAAUUGAGAAUGACGGGGUGGUGUUGUGAAUACAUUGUUUGAUGAAGGGGAGGAAAUGAAUUUAUCAACAAUUUUUAAAAAGUUGGAGGAUAAAAAUUUGAACAGAAAAAAAAAUGUUGAUGAUUUUGUUAGGUUAUACAUAUUGCUAGGGUUAUAUGUAUUUUAUGUUCCUAGAACUUCUAAAACAUUUACUUCUUUUGCUUUUAAGUGUUUAGACAAUUUAGAUGCAUUACAAUUAUAUAAUUGGGGGGGGGGGGUGCAGUGUAUAAUGUCUUAGUUACAAGUUUGACGAGGGCAUCCCAAGUUUACUAUGAAGAGAAGAAUGCUAGUGAAAUAUAUUUGGCAGGUUGUGUUGCUGUUUUGCAGGUUAGUUAAAAUUUGUAAAAUUAUGUUGUCUUAAAUUAUUAGUGAUUUUGUUUAAUUGUUAAUUAGUUGUGUAUUAUGUUUUUGGAAAUAGGUGUGGGCGGUCCACCAUGUGGGUGUUGGCGACCGUGCCCAGUGUAUUGGUUUUCCACGAUUUUUGCAUUGGUCGAGUGUUAAUAAUCGUGGAAGAAGGUUACAUGAAGUUUUUUUAUCUGUUGAGGUAUAUUUGCGAAUUGUUUAGUUUUUUGUGCAUGUUAUUGCAGAAAAUUUAUAUUAACUCAAAAGUAAUUGUUUUUUCAGAUUGUAUGGGAUUGACCAGUAAGUGCUGAAGAGGAAGGAAUCCAAAUUUUGAAAGAAGCCUUAGUAGAUUCUGAUGAGGGUGUUGGGGAAGGUAGUGGUGGUAAAAGUGAGUGGGACGACUUACUUUACCAACACAAACUUUCUGAGAAGAAAGUUGCAGAUAACGAAUUAAAAAUUGAUCGUUUGGAUAAGCAAAUUAAAGAGGUCCGACAAAUGCUUGUUAAAGAAAACGAGUGGUCAGUUGGAUUUGUGCGUGGAACCAACCCAACCUCUCAUGGAGCAACCAGUGCUGGUCCAAGCUCAUGCAGUUUGGAUAUUUCAAAAAUUUAUAAAACAUUUUUUGCAUUCAAGUUUGACAUGAAACGAUAAUUACAUAUAAUUGUAGCCAUUACUUCAUUUGUUGUUAUUGCUUGAUUAUUGAGUUGGUGUUAAAUGUUGAUGUAGUGUCAUUGUGGAUAUACAAAACAACAUGUUGACGAAGCUGGUUUGAAAUCAUUAAGGCCGCGGUCAAGAGUUGACAAUAUGGUAAAAAUGUACAUAUUGUAGUAGUUGUUCUAUUUACUUGUAAUAUUUACUUAGUUAUGUUGAAUGUGUUUGUAGGUUAUGCUAUUUGUAACCGGCUUCUUAAAUAUGAAUCAAAUUGUUCAUUUUGGAGUGGUGAAUCGCUUUUCAUUCAAUCCGUUUUUUGCGGUUAGUGUUGAUUUAAAUUGAUUUUGAUUUCUUUUAAGUUUUUGUUAUUACUAAUAAUAGAGUUUGUUGUUGCAGACUCGUGUAAUUGAGGAGAUGAUCAACAAUGGAGGACAAAAUUCAUGGUCCAGGUUGGAUUACAUGUCAUUUUAUGAGAAUGUUUUAUUCCCAUAUCAUGGAAUAUCUUAUUGUGAUUAUGUAGGUUAAUAUUAUUGAUGUUUUCUAUGAAAUUUGUCAGUGUUUGUAACUUUGCAACGUUUUGUAGGUGUUUGUCCCAACCGUGUUCAAGGAGCACUGGUGGUUGUACGCACUCAAUUGUCGAACCAGGCAAUUGCAUGUAUUGGACUCCAUUGGUCAUGGAAUUGAAGAUCGAUUCAAGAUUGAUAAAGCAAUGGUAAAUACCUAGAUGUUCUUGAAUACUUAUGAAUAUAUUUGGUUUGGAUUUCUUUAUCAUUGUUGUUAAAUUGCAUGUUGUUGGUUGAUCGUGUACAACACCUUUUUGAAAUUCUUGACGAAUUUUCUAAAAAGAGUGGGGCUCAAAUUUCAUUGGUAAAAGAAAAUGUUCCCCUACAACCGAAUAGGUUGGUAUUGACAGUAAUAUUCAUAUUUAUUUUGAUUUGAUAUUUUCUCUAAUUUGGUUUGGAGUUAAUAUUUUGAAUUGUUCUUUAGUGUUAAAUUUAUUUUGGUUGAUGCAGUUAUGACUGUGGUAUUUUAGUUGUGAUAUAUAUGGAGUUGUGGGAUGGUUCACAGCACUUGGAAGGUCUUUGUUAAUAAAUUAAUUGGAACCCUUAUAGUGUAAGUGGGGACCCAAAAACAACUUUCUGCAUAGUCAUUGUUUUAAAAUAUUUUUUUGGAUUCCUGUUAAUGGAAGUGAAUGUUGUGUGUAAGUGACACAUAGUUGGACAGUAUUAAUGUUAAUUGAGUGGGUUUUACCAUGAUGUGGUGGUCAUUGGAACCCUUAUACUGUAAGUGGGGACCCAAGAACAACUUUCUGCAUGGUCAUUGUUUUAAAAUAUUUUUUUGGAUUUCUGUUAAUGGAAGUGAAUGUUGUGUGUAAGUGACACAUAGUUGGACUCUAUUAAUGUUAAUUGGGUGGGUUUUACCAUGAUGUGGUGGUCAUUGGAACCCUUAUACUGUAAGUGGGGACCCAUGUGUUAAUAAGUGGGGACUCAAGAAUAACUUUCUGCAUGGUCAUUGUUUCCAAAUAUUUUUUUGGAUUACUGUAAAUGAAAGUUAAUGUUGUGUGUAAGUGAGACAUAGUUGCAGUGUAUGAAUGUUAAUUGGGUGGGUUUUACCAUGAUGUGGUGGUCAUAAAAACCCUUAUACUGUAAGUGGGGACUCAUUUGUUAAUAAGUGGGGACCCAAGAACAACUUUGUGCAUGGUCAUUGUUUUGAAAUAUUUUUUUUGGAUUCCUGUAAAUGGAAGUGAAUGUUGUGUGUAAGUGAGACAUAGUUGCAGUGUAUGAAUGUUAAUUGGGUGGGUUUUACCAUGAUGUGGUGGUCAUAGAAACCCUUAUACUGUAAGUGGGGACCCAUGUGUUAAUAAAUGGGGACCCAAGAACAACUUUUGGUGUUUUUAUGUAAGUGGGGACCCCUUUCCUUUUAACUGAGGACCUAUGUUGUACUUUUUGCACAGUCAUUUAAUCUUGCAACUCAGUGAUUAGUUUUGGGUUUUUUGGCUGCAAAGAGGGUUCAGAUGGGAGUCCAGAGACCUCAUUGGAGGUUCAGGUCAUUCAUUGGUGAAACACUACCUCAAAUUCUGGUGUUUUAAUGUAAGUGGGGACCCCUUUGAUUUUAAUUGGGGACCUAUGUUCAACUUUUUGCACACUCAUUUCGUCCUCAAAGUGAGUGAUUAGUUUUGGGUUUUUUGGAUCCAAACAUGCUUCACAUGGGAGUCUAGGGACCUCAUUCGAGGUUCAGACUAUUCAUUCGUGAAAGACUACCUCAAAUUCUGGUGUUUUAAUGUAAGUGGUGACCCCUUUGAUUUUAGCUGGGGACCUAUGUUCAACUUCUUGCACUAUCAUUUGGUCCUGCAAGUGACAGAUUACUAUUGGGUUUUUUGGAUGCAAAGAGGGUUCACAUGGGAGUCCAAGGACCUCAUUGGAGGUUCAGCCCAUUCAUUGGUGAAAGACUAUAUAAUUUUUGGGUUUUUUGGAUGCAAACAGGGUUGACAAUAUAAUUGUCACCAUUCAGUACAAAGUUGAAUAAUAAAAACAAUACGACAUAAUUAAUCAAUAACAAUACUAUUAAUGAAUAACAAAAUUAAUCCACUUACACAUUCAGAGUUUCCACAAUAAUUACUCCUGAACAAAACUAUUGGUGCAAUACUACAAAUUACAAUGGUUUCAACAAUGUCAAUAAAGCAUAAAUCCACUAACUUAAAAACAGAAAGCACCUAAAAACAUAUCCAUUAAUGAAGCAUCAGUUUUUGGGUUUUUUUGGCUUCCUCCUUGAAUAUGUGGUCCAAUGUGUUUUCAAAACAACACUCUUGAAACGUUUUUAAUCUUUUUUUGUGGCAGUGGUGGUGCCUCAAAGAAAGGCCCUUGAGGAUUGGGUAGUGAAGCAUAAUUCUACAAAUGAUUUUAAAUCUUUAUUUCAAAAUCUGAAGGCACCAAAAUACAUUUUGGAUGACCUCAAAAAGUCAUUCACUUUUGUUAAGCUCUGUUUUCAUUGUUGUUUUGCACUCAACAAGGACUAAAAAGUAGAAUGUCUAAUAAUAGAAGGUUUUCCAAAUCAUAGGGAUUAAAUUUCUCAACCCAAAUAAUGUCAAGGACUGCCAACACCUUACUCCUAGUUAGUUUCAGUCGUGGUCUUAUACUAUAUUUUGAUCUUCCUGGGUAAAUAUGAACAUUGUAAAAUAGACACAGUUGAAGUCCCAAUGUUAAAAAAAUUAAAACAAUAAUAUAAACAUAUAUAUAUAUAUACAUAUGAUACCCCAAACAAAACAAUUCCUCCUUUAGGACUUUGCAAACAACACACAAAAAUGACUAUCAUAAUCCUAACUUUGGUUGAUUUAAAAUUAAGAAAAAAUAAUUUGUGUGAAUGUUUCGUGUUCAGAACCAAACCAACAUACACUUCUUCUAAUAAAGUUUUCUCCAUACAAAGAGGAAUCAUGUCUCUAUUUCAAUGUCGCUAGUAACAAAUAAUUUGUAAAAGAUUGUUAGGAGGUUAUUACAGAAUGAAUGUUAUCAAUUUUAAAUCUUGGAAGAAGAGUUAAGGAUCACAAUUACUAUACACUACAAUUUAAUUCCAAGCAAUUAGUAAGCAGUAUCAUCAGAAAAAGUGACAUCAAUUGGCACUUGUCUUCAGCUCAUCAAAGAGGGCAACAUACACUUACAAAUGGGAGCAAUCAAGCCAAUAAAAAAAUUCCAAUAGACAAGGUUUUGAGACACAUAUUAUUGACACAGUUCAUCUCUCAAAAUAGAAAUAUUUUCUUAGGUUUUAAUCUAUCCUUUUAACCAGACUACCUUUCAUUUUAGAUGAUGAUAUCUUAACACCAGAUACACAACAAAACAUAUACUUCACACUCCAAUAAACUAAUAUUUUAAUCUUAAUCAUAUUUAAUUUUUUUUAAUUUAAAAUAUUAUUAUAUUAUUAUAAUAAUUUGUCAAUGUAUGGGUGUUUUAAUUUUUUUUGUUAAAGAAAUCUUUUCCUUAUUGCAGACACAAAUCAUGGUUUGAUAGCACUUUCUCAUAUCUUUCAAGACUAAACCAUGCAACUUCUGAAUUCUUAUAAGCUGUAAUCCUCAUUUUUCACCUUGAAAACAAUGUCAACUCGUUUUUCAUUAAAAUUAUACUCAUAUACUCUGUGUUUACUCUUAACUAAAUAUACCUUUGACUCCAAAGCAUAUGUCGUUCACAAAGCAUCUAGUUGCUUACUUAAUCUUAGAUGUACUAAAUAAAGUAUGUCCGACACUAAGGGCAUGACUCAAACUUGGACUUUGAUACAAACCAGUUAUUGCUCUCAUUGUGUUUUGCCAUUAAUUUAUCAUAACGGUACAAUUUGGCGUGUGUUUUGUCCACACUCUACCAUUUUACAAAUGAAACAUAAACUUCUAAACCAAUCCCAAAUUCUCAUACCACAAAACAAUGAAAUCCAAAUGCAUUCAAACUUCAAAACUCAAAAACCACACACCAAACAAACAAACGAAAUUACACUGCACUCAAUGCUAAAAAACGGAAAGCAAAGCAAUAAACAAAUAACCCCGUACCAAAGCCCUAAGCGAAAAGCAAAAUACAUACCUCAAAAUGGAAAUCACACUCUUAAACGAAAGCCCUAAACACCUCAACAUGGCAACACACCUCUCUUAUGCUUCCUUCUCCCUUCAAAAACCGCCGCAAUCGAAAAUGCCCCAAUCGAAAACCCUAAUCCUUCCAAAUCUCGCUUUUGCUUUCGUUAAACGGCACACAUAAAAUCGCACGUCUUUGUUCGCAACCAACAACCCUCAAACGCAAAUGGUCUCCCUUUAAAAUGCACCUUCCGAAUCCUCCUUUUGAAAUGCACCUUUCAAAGGUUCUUCAUUUACGAAAUGCACUCUUCAAAUGGCGGCCUCUCGUCCGCAGACGCCACAAUCCACCGCGUCAAGCAUUAUUCCGCUGCUGCACCAAUCCCAGUUUCUCCACGAUCAAGCUUUCCUCCAACGCCGAUUACAGAUGAUAUUUGAAGGUGCCAGAGAGAGGUGGAUGUAUGCAAUUUACUGGGUGUACUCCCCUGCCGAUUCCCUUCUCUGUUGGGGUGACGGCUAUUACAACGGCAAUGGCAAACCCCAAAAAACGACGUGGCCCACAGAGCAGGCCCAGCGCAAGAGCGUUCUUAAGUUACUUAAUAGCUUAAUUUCAGGCCCCUCGGCCACCCAUGACGACUGCGACGAAGACGUCACUGAUCCAGAGUGGUUAUUUUUGCUCUCCACGACUUACACCUUUGUCAACGGCAGCGGCGUACUGGGCCAGGCUUUCUUGAAUUAGAACCCGGUUUGGCUCACCGGGUCAGCCCAGUUAUCUGAAUCGGCCUGCCAACGGGCCUGGCAGUUGCAGCAGUUUGGGCUUCAGACGAUGGUUUGCAUACCGUGUCCAAACGGCGUCGUUGAACUGGCCUCCUCUGAAGUGCUUCUGCCCAACCCUGUUCUCGUGAUUAAAGUCCUAGCAUUGAUCAACCUCAACGGCCCAGUCGCGGACCUCACCUCUGCCGAAAUCAUAC
rnacentral:lncRNA from 1 species